GCCUUUGUGGUGGAAUGGUAGACACGACUGAUUCAAAAUCAGUUGCUUUAGCAUGAGAGUUCAAAUCUCUCCAAAGGUA
rnacentral:tRNA from 1 species